rfam:Lupinus angustifolius cultivar Tanjil contig_1835, whole genome shotgun sequence.
AGGUGUGAUCAUACCAGCAAUAAUGAUCUGGAUCCCAUCAAAACUCCGCAGAUAAGCUUGCUUGGGUGAUAGUAGUACUAGAAUGGGUGACCUCUUGAGAAGUCCUCGUGUUGCACCUC